GACAGAGGGUGCAAACGUUGCUCGGAAUUACUGGGCGUAAAGCGCGUGUAGGCUGACCGGAAAGUCGGGCGUGAAAUCCCUUGGCUCAACCCAGGGACUGCACUCGAAACUCCCGGUCUUGAGUGGUGGAGAGGGAAGUGGAAUUCCUGGUGUAGAGGUGAAAUUCGUAGAUAUCAGGAGGAACACCAGUGGCGAAGGCGGCUUCCUGGACACCAACUGACGCUGAGACGCGAAAGCGUGGGGAGCAAACAGG
rnacentral:rRNA from 1 species